rnacentral:rRNA from 1 species
GGUUAAAACGCUCGUAGUUGGAUAUUUGUUAUGGACGGUCGGUCUACCCCAGUGGUCAGUACUUCGACUCGUUUCAAACACAUUUCUGGAGGAAGUGUUUGCACUUGAUUGUGUUGCACGUGCUCCGUGACAUUUACUUUGAGGAAAUGAGAGUGUUUCAAGCAGACAUCUGUCGUGAAUGCGCUAGCAUGGAAUAAUAGCAUGGGACCAUUGCUUGACACUGUUGGUCUUGGGCUGUGGUAAUAAAAAUAGGAGCAGUUGGGGGUAUUCGUAUUUAACUGUCAGAGGCGAAAUUCUUGGAUUUUUUGAAGACGGACCACUGCGAAAGCAUCUACCCGGGAUGUUUCUUUUGAUCAAGAACGAAAGUUAGGGGAUCGAAGACGAUCAGAUACCGUCCUAGUCUUAACCUUAAACCAUGCCGACUAGAGAUUUGGGUCGUCAGAAUCGUGACGCCUUGAGCACCUUAGGGGAAACCAAAGUCUUCGGGUUCCGGGGGGAGUAUGGUCGCAAGGCUGAAACUUAAAGGAAUUGACGGAAGGGCACCACCAGGAGUGGAGCCUGCGGCUUAAUUUGACUCAACACGGGAAAACUUACCAGGUCCGGACAUAGAGAGGAUUGACAGACUGAUAGCUCU